rnacentral:rRNA from 1 species
AACGAACGCUGGCGGCAGGCCUAACACAUGCAAGUCGAACGAGGCAGCAAUGCCUAGUGGCGGACGGGUGAGUAACGCGUGGGAACGUGCCCCUUGGUACGGAAUAGCCCUGGGAAACUGGGAGUAAUACCGUAUGUGGUCGAGAGACGAAAGAUUUAUCGCCAAGGGAUCGGCCCGCGUUGGAUUAGGUAGUUGGUGGGGUAAUGGCCUACCAAGCCGACGAUCCAUAGCUGGUUUGAGAGGAUGAUCAGCCACACUGGGACUGAGACACGGCCCAGACUCCUACGGGAGGCAGCAGUGGGGAAUCUUAGACAAUGGGGGAAACCCUGAUCUAGCCAUGCCGCGUGAUCGAUGAAGGCCUUAGGGUUGUAAAGAUCUUUCAGUGGGGAAGAUAAUGACGGUACCCACAGAAGAAGCCCCGGCUAACUCCGUGCCAGCAGCCGCGGUAA